rnacentral:lncRNA from 1 species
AUUAAACAGGUUUACAGGUUGCAUGUCAGGCUUGCUACGGGUCCCGGCGGCCUUAAGCCGACCUGGAUCCUAGCGCCGGUAACGGUCCGAUUUUCGGGUCGUUACAGAAUGGUAUCAGAGCCCUAGGUUCAUAUGGUCGGACCUAGAGUGUCAGGCUCAUAGAUGUUAUAGAAGGUCAAGCACAAUAGGAAAGGUUAUGUCCACUAGGAUAGGAUGUGGAGUCCUGUCUUGUAUGAUGAUGUGAAAUGCCAUGAUUAUAUACAUGUGCAUUAAUGCUAUGAUAUGAAUGAUAUGUAUGUGAUGCGGGUUCAUGUGUGCUCACAUGAACCAUAAGAUGCUAACGUUUCUGUGAUGUGUACUGUUUUUCAGAAAACAGGAUGAGAGGAACUCGUCGAUCUGCACGAUUGACUGGAGUGCCACCUGAGGAUGAGGGCAUGAGCGCCCGUCCUCCUACAUUGCCUAGGGCAAUGUCUAGUAGGUCUAGCAGAGAAAGAGCAGUAAGAGACCCUAGAAGGUCUCUGGAUCUGGGUAGAAGCAGAUCAGUGAGGGGAACAGUUCAG